UGAAGAAGUCGAACAACCCAAGUAAUCUCGGCAAUAAGACGACACAUAGAGCGGUACUCUGCCUCAGUUGAAGAAAGAGCAAUAAUCGACUAUUUUUUGGAUCUCCAAGCUAUUGAGCAUCCCCCAAGACUUAAGAAGAACCAACUAACAGAUCAUCAUGAAUUAGAAUAUGCCAUCCAAUCAGAGUCGCAAAAGUUUUGAAUUUGGAAAGAAAGAUCUGGCAAUAAGAAAAGCCCUAAACCUAGAUAUUUACUUAGGUACUGUAAGGCACAAUAAGCAGAUUAAAGGUGACCAGAACAAGGAUUUUGCUUAUACUGACUAAGAUGUUGGACAGUAUAAGCAAGGUCAGGCUUGGUGCUAGUUAGAAAAUUUAUUUUUCCCAAGAUUCAUCUAUAAAAGGUAGGCUAUGUGAUGGGUUCACCAGAGGUGGAAGAAAGCUUAAGAGUUGGAUGCAAAGGAGUAAACACAACCCGAUAAUCAAAGCAAUCAAACUCAGUGAGGAUCUCUAAUGUGAAUUUUCUCUGGUAAUUAAUAUGUCAUCGACAUAUACAGACAAAAUAGUGACCAAGUUACAAA